rnacentral:rRNA from 1 species
CCUACGGGAGGCAGCAGUGAGGAAUAUUGGUCAAUGGGCGCGAGCCUGAACCAGCCAAGUCGCGUGAAGGAUGACUGCCCUACGGGUUGUAAACUUCUUUUAUAAAGGAGUAAAGUGAGGCACGUGUGCCUUUUUGUAUGUACUUUAUGAAUAAGGAUCGGCUAACUCCGUGCCAGCAGCCGCGGUAAUACGGAGGAGCCGAGCGUUAUCCGGAUUUAUUGGGUUUAAAGGGAGCGUAGAUGGGUUGUUAAGCCAGUUGGGAAAGUUUGGGGCUCAACCGUAAAAUUGCAAUUGAUACUGGCAGCCUUGAGUGCAGUUGAGGUAGGCGGAAUUCGUGGUGUAGCGGUGAAAUGCUUAGAUAUCACGAAGAACUCCGAUUGCGAAGGCAGCUUACUAAACUGCCACUGACAUUGAGGCUCGAAAGUGUGGGUAUCAAACAGGAUUAGAUACCCUUGUAGUC